UACGGGGGGGGCAAGCGGUUGUUCGGAAUUACUGGGCGUAAAGGGCUCGUAGGGUGGCCAACUAAGUCAGACGUGAAAUCCCUCGGCUUAACCGGGGAACUGCGUCUGAUACUGGAUGGGCUUGAGUUCGGGGAGAGGGAUGCGGGAAUUCCAGGUGUAGCGGGUGAAAUGCGUAGAUAUCUGGAGAACACCGGUGGCGAAGGCGGCAUCCUGGACCGACACUGACGCUGAGGAGCGAAAGCCAGGGGAGCAAACGGG
rnacentral:rRNA from 1 species